rnacentral:rRNA from 1 species
UACAGAGGGUGCAAGCGUUGUUCGGAAUUAUUGGGCGUAAAGCGCGUGUAGGCGGCUUUGCAAGUCGGGUGUGAAAGCCCCGGGCUCAACCCGGGAAGUGCACUCGAUACUGUCGAGCUAGAGUAUCGGAGAGGUUGGUGGAAUUCUCGGUGUAGAGGUGAAAUUCGUAGAUAUCGAGAGGAACACCGGUGGCGAAGGCGGCCAACUGGACGAAUACUGACGCUGAGACUCGAAAGCGUGGGGGAGCAAACAGG